UACGGAGGGAGCUAGCGUUAUUCGGAGUUACUGGGCGUAAAGCGCACGUAGGCGGCUUUGUAAGUAAGGGGUGAAAGCCUGGUGCUCAACACCAGAACUGCCCUUUAGACUGCAUCGCUUGAAUCCAGGAGAGGUGAGUGGAAUUCCGAGUGUAGAGGUGAAAUUCGUAGAUAUUCGGAAGAACACCAGUGGCGAAGGCGGCUCACUGGACUGGUAUUGACGCUGAGGUGCGAAAGCGUGGGGAGCAAAC
rnacentral:rRNA from 1 species